UAUUCUGUAAUCAUCUGCCUGAUGUUUCACCUUUACCAGCCCUUGUUCUUGUGGAAGGCUUGACAGAUGACUGCUGGAAACUCAACACAGCAGAGAAGGGGCAGUGUGGGAGGUCUGUUCAGAGUGUGGAAGAUAACUCCCUGACACAGCUGAGACUCAGGAGUAAAUCCAGCAAGGUUUUGGGGAUCCAGACUGAUCCUUCCUCUUUCAAAGGAUAAGGCAGCAGCAUUAACUUCUCUGACUGGUUUUAUUUUGCCUUCUGAAGACUGCUGCAUUCUGGAAUAAUCAAAAUACAGAAGGUCAAGGAACGAAUGUGUCUUCCUCUGGAAAAUGAUCCUGCGGUGAAAUUCUGCAUUAGAGAUCAUCAAGACUACACCAAACAAUUACCCAGUAUGGGCCAGUCCAGAGGCAAGAAAGCUCAUAUUCUGAA